CUGACUUCUCUCUCAGCGUUUUCUCCAUUUCUACUUCCCUGUUACACCUGCACACGAGCACCUGGAACUUCCCCUCUCUGUCGGAAAAUGGGAAAUAAGCUUACCAUACUAGAAAACAGGACUUGGUUCAACAUAGAAAUCAAGAUGUGGGUGGAUGGCUCUAGGCCUGAUAGGUUCAAGAAAAUUGUUAGGAUCGAACCAGGCAAGUCUAUAAGAGUAAAGGCCUCAACUUUCAACAGUGAUGAUGAUCCGGAAUGUGUCAUGCUACUGGUUUAUGAAAAUGGAAGUUGGAAAGGACAAUACCUUCUUCCCCAGCACUUGUUCGCUUAUGCGGCUGUCUUCUGCGAUAGGAACCAACACGGUCAAGUCGUUCUUCGAGCCAAGAGAGCAAACUUCAACCUCUUCCGACUCAAAUGCUUCGCGUGCCUUCCUGCAAAAUACGUGGGCCUAGGAAUGGUUGAAGAGGAGAUUUAGGUCUCCCUGGCCUGGGGUGCUUGACCGUGUUCUUCUACAUAAAUUUUACUCAGAUCCAAUCUUGUUGCUACCCAAAUUCCAAAUCUCUCCCAAAAAAAUUCGGAAACAGCAGCAGAUGUUCUAUAUCACUCAAGUUUAUUAACUACUUCGUGUAAUUAAGGAUUUUGAUUAUAAUCAUGUGCUAUGAAGCUUCCAAUCUAGUGUGUGUAUUGGAUCAAGGAUUUUGAUAAUAUUUGAAAGUUUAUAGUUGUA